UAUAGGCGGCCACAGCGGCGGGGUUGCCUCCCGUACCCAUCUCGAACACGGAAGAUAAGCCCGCCAGCGUUCCGGGGAGUACUGGAGUGCGCGAGCCUCUGGGAAACGCGGUUCGCCGCCACCA
rnacentral:rRNA from 1 species